AGGUAAACUACACAACUUGAUCGUGCAUUGUCUUAAGUUCUUCGUGUCUCUCUUUCGAGUUUCUUAUCCAAUCCUCUCGGUUGUGUAGGCGCUGAGAAGUUCCAGCCGAAGUUCUUCCCAGAUCUAUCGCCCGAGAUCCAAGGAGAGCCAUGGUUACCUCCUCCUCGUCCAAGAAGCUCUUCCCCCGCUUCGUGACCCUGAAAGGCGACAAUGGUCAGCUCCUCACAGUGCACGCUCUGGAUGGAGUACCGUACCUCACAUUUACUUCCCUGGAGCCGUCGCGGCUGGCUACUCAUGAGAUCAUCUGCCACAAGGAUCUCCCGGACGUGGUGAUGAUCCGUUC
rnacentral:lncRNA from 1 species